CAAAGUUUGCUACAGUAGCCUGUUAACAGUAGACCAAAGGUAUGAUGAUCAAUUAUAAAUGCAAUAUGGUUGAAAGCUUGACAAAAAUGUAGUUUGAAGGAGAAGGGACAGCUGAGUAACAAAGUCCUGGUACGCAGACGACGAUACUAUUACACUGACAAGAGUGUAAUGAUGAUGGAGACACAAGCCAGAGAACGGGGGGACCAAACACCAGGCCAGAAUUCUGCAUGAGUCAGAUCCAGUGGGUGCAGAUCAUCAUACAGAUGGUUCAAGUGUGGAUCCACCUGAUAUUCAAGAUUUUCUCUCCUGAGACCCUCAGCUGACCAUCAAGAAAGAACACACUCCAGUGGGCAUCCUUUAUCUAUCCAGACCCUCAUACAGAUGGUUGGAGUUUUGAUUCACCUAAAGUACCAUGCAAGAGCACUCAUUUUCACUCGUGAGACCAUGGUGUGACCUGCAAGGUCGAAUGGAGACUGUAAACAAGACAAUCUUGGAGUCACCUGCAUUCACUGGUCCAGUUGUUAGUCCAAUUACAGAUGGAGAUUAUAGAAGAGGAUGAUGUCUUUUCUCCAACAUCUUUCUAGACUGAUAAAAGAUCUAGACAGGCUUGAACAAAAGUUAACAGAGGGGCUUAUAUAGAGAAUGGUGAGCAGCUACACAUAAAAUAAGAACAUGGAGAAUCUGCUCAGAGGUGUUAACCAGCAAUGCAGCUAUACAACUAAAUUGAUGCAGGCGGAAACACAAGCGAGAAUGCAGCUGCAGAUGAAGAAUCCGUCCGUCUAUCACUGAAGGAGACGCAGAAAAUUCCAUCCAAGAUGUUCUUUGCCCGAGGAAGCAUUUGAUUAUUUUAAAGAUAUUGUGUUUCUUUGUGUGUUAUAGAAAAACGUUGCUUUUUUGCAUACACUCGUGUAAAUAUGCAUCUUAUGAAUGUUUGCCUUUGUCUAAUUUUAAUAAAUUUUACGCAAUCAACUGCCUGUUUUAUUGAAAAUACUGUUUUAAUUGUUGUCAAUUAUAUUUUGUAAUAAUAUGUGUGUAUAACUGUGUAGAUGUAGUUUAGAGCAAUUUAUUUGAUCUUUUAAUCGUCGUUUAAAGCUCUCAGAAACAUCUUAGAAAGAGCUCGAUUAAAGCUCUUAUAAAGAUCUUUUAAAGAUCUAAGAAACAUCUUAGAAAUAUCUUAGA